rnacentral:misc_RNA from 1 species
CCGAGUUAUACAACUCAUCAACCCUGUGAACAUACCUAAAACGUUGCUUCGGCGGGAACAGACGGCCCUGUAACAACGGGCCGCCCCCGCCAGGGGACCCCUAACUCUGUUUUUAUAAUGUUUUUCUGAGUAAACAAGCAAAUAAAUUA